UUGUAUGUUUGUAUGUUAACAGCAUUUAACCAAGAGCUGAAGACAUUUCAACUUUAUCAAAUAUUGUCAUGUAUAAUAAAUAUUUUAAAUAGUGUUUAACUGAAAUAGUAAGUGAAAGUAGUAGUGAAACUGAAAGUAAAUUCGACAACUGUUUUAUGUUGCUUCACACGAGACAGCUCAACAGCAGGAGAAAUGAGUUGUGAUGGCGACCAGCACACAAUGCAGUCCUCAGAUGAUGUGCUGCCCCCUCCUGGUGACAUCCAGGUCCUGUUGCUGACAUUAGAUUCUGUGUCUCUGAGCUGGAGUUCUCCUCAGGGGCUGAUAGGACCACAGACAUUCAGAGUGACCUGGGGGUGUGACAGUGAAACAAGCUCAACAAGAGUGAAAGAUGUGUAUCAUCUUAAAAUAAGCAGUCUCAAACCUGGUGAAAAGUACCAGUUCAACAUGGCUACAGAGGGAGAAGAUGGAAGACAAAGCAGAUGGGUCUCAGCAUCCCUAUCCACAGUGGUCACACCCAGAGAUUUAAAGAUCGACCAUUUGGAAGAGACCUCCUUCACUCUCCACUGGUCCAAGGCUGAAGGGAUGGAGAAAGUCCCACAGCACUUCUUCAUAUCCAACUGCA